GGACACGCGUAGCAGCCGCGAGCUUGGAAUCGCGAGUCGUGUCGCACACGCACACGCGACGCACACCCGCGACAUAAACGCGAUCCUCCGACAAACGCACCGAAUCGCUCCGAUCUCAGCACAUCGGUGUGGUGCAGCGGUCGUGCAGUGGCGGUGCAAAGGUGCAAUACACGGUGCCUGACACCGUACGAUACGUCACACGCGCGGUACAUCAUUAACAUACAGGUACACCGCGACCGCAACAGGGCCACGCAACAGCAACACGCACCCAAUUUAUUAUUAUGGCCGAUUAUUCGGCACUAACUGUGCUGUUCGUCUCGCUGUCCAUAUUCGUGUUCUUCAAGUACUGUCUGGGCAAUCCGCACGGCGACGGGCUGGGCGAGUUCCGUUACGACAACGCCACCAGGCCCGUGCUCCAACACGUGGUGUACGACGAGUUCGCCGGGUCCGCGAGCGCCCAACUGCAGUUUGUCUGACGCCACCCGGCUGCACAUGCAGGAACAUGUUGAUGCGUCGCCGCCAGAUCGCACGCAGCACUGCUUCUUUUACGGUAACGGCGCUCUGACUUCUAAGCGUUUAUGCAAUAUCUGACCAGUUUGGACUAAAUCCAAUCACAGAGUUCUCAACACACGACGUCUCGUAGAAACUGAAAAGUCUGAAUAACAUGCAAUAUCCAGCAUCCAGCUCUAAAUUUUUUCCAUUACUAUUGAUUGCCCGAUUUAGAAACGAAAUUCCAUAAUUAUUCGUAUAGCUAGCCCGCAAUAACUACUAUUCUAAACAAACUUUUUCGUCAUGCUUCAAAAUAUCAAUAUUUUUUUUCAAUAAUAAUAAUUAUAUAUUAUUAAAUUUCAAUCUAUAGCAGAAACACGAUGAAAAAAAAACUGCUACACGGUACUAUGAUCAAAAUAAAUCAUUAUUCUAUAUCGAAAUAACAAAAAAAAAAGGAAAAAAAAAUAUUUCAUAUACAUACGAUCACGACGUACCUAAUACCUAAUACCCUAAUACCUCGUACUUAUUUAGGUAUGUAUAUUACUACCUGGCAAAAAUAAUUUCCACAUCAAUAUACAUCAUACAUCGCUAUUAACUCAUUUUAAAUUAC